ACCGUCCAGGUGUCAAAUUUCUAUUGGGUGAUUUUUUAUAUAUUGAAACAGCUUUUUAAUAAAGUGACGGGGGUAGAAGUGGAAUAAUGAAACUUUGAAUAUCAUUUUGGAAUUGGCGGUUUCAUUUUCGUUUCACUUUUACUGAGAACAGUUUCGCCUUCUCUCCAACAUCUUUGUUCUUCGUUUGCCACCAUCUCCAUUGUUGCGUUCCUUUCGUUUUAUCUCAACCAGGGAAAGGCGAUCAUUGAGAAGGUAAGCCCGUAGUGUGGGUAUGUCGUUUUUGGUUUGGUUGGGCUUCGUGUUUGUUUCGUCAUUUGCUGCCAUUGUCGCGUUUUGGUGGUUUGGGUUUUUGUGUAUCAUUUCGCUUCUCAUUAUAAUGUUGUUGUUUAGGUGUUAAUUUUAUUUUUUUAAACCCUAACCAAAUAUUGAUAUUUGGGCUCUUUGGUGUUUUGAUUUUGUGUUCAGUUGGAAUGGCUUCCGGAAUCCCAAAGGUAACAUAAAGUUUCUUACUUUUAUUUAGUUGGGUAAUUUGUUGUUAAUAUUAACAAUGUUUUCUUUAUGUCUUGUAGUGGAGGGUUCGUACUUCUUUGAAUUCAUCUUAUAUUAUUGGCNN
rnacentral:lncRNA from 1 species